UAUAGAGGAGCCAAGCGUUGUCCGGAUUGACUGGGCGUAAAGCGCACGCAGGCGGUUGCGCGCGUGGGGUGUGAAAUCUGGCCGCUUAACGGCCAGGCGCCAUCCCAUACGGCGCGACUGGAGUGAUGCAGAGGUCGAUGGAAUUGCCGGUGUAGUGGUGAAAUGCGUAGAGAUCGGCAGGAACACCCAGGGGGAAACCAGUCGACUGGGCAUCUACUGACGCUGAGGUGCGAGAGCGUGGGGAGCGAACCGG
rnacentral:rRNA from 1 species